UACGAAGGGUGCAAGCGUUACUCGGAAUUACUGGGCGUAAAGCGUGCGUAGGUGGUUGUUUAAGUCUGUUGUGAAAGCCCUGGGCUCAGCCUGGGAACUGCAGUGGAAACUGGACAACUAGAGUGUGGUAGAGGGUAGCGGAAUUCCCGGUGUAGCAGUGAAAUGCGUAGAGAUCGGGAGGAACAUCCAUGGCGAAGGCAGCUACCUGGACCAACACUGACACUGAGGCACGAAAGCGUGGGGAGCAAACAGG
rnacentral:rRNA from 1 species